GUGUCAGCAGCCGCGGUAAUACGAAGGGUGCAAGCGUUAAUCGGAAUUACUGGGCGUAAAGCGCGCGUAGGUGGUUCAGCAAGUUGGAUGUGAAAGCCCUGGGCUCAACCUGGGAACUGCAUCCAAAACUACUGAGCUAGAGUACGGUAGAGGGUAGUGGAAUUUCCUGUGUAGCGGUGAAAUGCGUAGAUAUAGGAAGGAACACCAGUGGCGAAGGCGACUACCUGGACUGAUACUGACACUGAGGUGCGAAAGCGUGGGGAGCAAACAGGAUUAGAAACCCCUGUAGUCC
rnacentral:rRNA from 1 species